CAGUAGCCGCGGUAAUACGUAGGGUGCAAGCGUUAAUCGGAAUUACUGGGCGUAAAGCGUGCGCAGGCGGUUCUAUAAGACAGAUGUGAAAUCCCCGGGCUCAACCUGGGAACUGCAUUUGUGACUGUAGAGCUGGAGUGCGGCAGAGGGGGAUGGAAUUCCGCGUGUAGCAGUGAAAUGCGUAGAUAUGCGGAGGAACACCGAUGGCGAAGGCAAUCCCCUGGGCCUGCACUGACGCUCAUGCACGAAAGCGUGGGGAGCAAACAGGAUUAGAUACCCCGGUAGUCCCUGUCUCUUACAC
rnacentral:rRNA from 1 species